rnacentral:rRNA from 1 species
AUUGAACGCUGGCGGAAUGCUUUACACAUGCAAGUCGAACGGCAGCACGGGAGCUUGCUCCUGGUGGCGAGUGGCGAACGGGUGAGUAAUAUAUCGGAACGUAUCCAAUAAUGGGGGAUAACUAAUCGAAAGGUUGGCUAAUACCGCCUACGCCCUACGGGGGAAAGCAGGGGAUCUUCGGACCUUGCGUUGAUGGAGCGGCCGAUAUCGGAUUAGCUAGUUGGUGGGGUAAAGGCCUACCAAGGCGACGAUCCGUAGCUGGUCUGAGAGGACGACCAGCCACACUGGAACUGAGACACGGUCCAGACUCCUACGGGAGGCAGCAGUGGGGAAUUUUGGACAAUGGGGGCAACCCUGAUCCAGCCAUUCCGCGGGAGUGAAGAAGGCCUUCGGGUUGUAAAGCUCUUUCGCAAGGGAAGAAACGAUACUGGUGAAUAUCCAGUGUUAAUGACGGUACCUUGAUAAGAAGCACCGGCUAACUACGUGCCAGCCGCCGCCGUAA